UACAGAGGGUGCGAGCGUUGUCCGGAAUCACUGGGCGUAAAGGGCGCGUAGGUGGCUUGGUAAGCGUGUGGUGAAAGUCCGGGGCUCAACCCCGGAUCUGCCGUGCGAACUGCCGAGCUGGAGCAAUGUAGAGGCGGGUGGAAUUUCGGGUGUAGCGGUGGAAUGCGUAGAUAUCCGAAAGAACACCGGUGGCGAAGGCGGCCCGCUGGGCAUUUGCUGACACUGAGGCGCGACAGCGUGGGGAGCAAACAGGAUUAGAAACCCUGGUAGU
rnacentral:rRNA from 1 species